rnacentral:lncRNA from 1 species
AUAUCACUAUAUCAGCCCAGCUACAGCAGCUCUGCUCCCAUCCAGAAUCAAGGGAGGGCAGGGGACAUACAGUAAGAGCUGCUUCUGCAUUCGGGUACUUUCAUUUCCAAUGUAUUCUAAUAUUGCAGUAGAAGAGGAGAAGUGCUCUGUCGUGCUGAACCAAAAAACCUGACCAAAGGGUGCUGAUAGGAUGGUGGCAGCUGGGAAUGUAAAGAAGUGUACAUUUCGUGUUAUAUUGUAUUCUUUUAUAAGGAUUCCCCUGUCCUGUAAUUUUCUGACCCCAAGACCACAA